GAUGAACGCUAGCGGGAGGCCUAACACAUGCAAGCCGAGCGGUAUUUGUUCUUCGGAACAGAGAGAGCGGCGCACGGGUGCGGAACACGUGUGCAACCUGCCUUUAUCUGGGGGAUAGCCUUUCGAAAGGGAGAUUAAUACCCCAUAAUAUAUUGAGUGGCAUCAUUUGAUAUUGAAAACUCCGGUGGAUAGAGAUGGGCACGCGCAAGAUUGGAUAGUUGGUGAGGUAACGGCUCACCAAGUCAAUGAUCUUUAGGGGGCCUGAGAGGGUGAUCCCCCACACUGGUACUGAGACACGGACCAGACUCCUACGGGAGGCAGCAGUGAGGAAUAUUGGACAAUGGGUUAGCGCCUGAUCCAGCCAUCCCGCGUGAAGGACGACGGCCCUAUGGGUUGUAAACUUCUUUUGUAUAGGGAUAAACCUACUCUCGUGAGAGUAGCUGAAGGUACUAUACGAAUAAGCACCGGCUAACUCCGUG
rnacentral:rRNA from 1 species